rnacentral:rRNA from 1 species
AUGGCCACACUAUACAUCCAUUGGCUCCAGUGUUUGCUACGCUCACAAAUCUGGACAUUGCACCAGAGAGCAGAGGGGAGUGGCGAGCUGUACCUGAGCGGGGACGGCUCGCCGAGGAACUCGGGCUCCUUGUCGCCGGUGGCCACGUUCCUGGCCUUCUUAGUCGCCGGCGCCGCAUGCCCCUCCUCCUCCUGCUGCUCCCAGGAGGCGGCCAUCUCCUCGUCCUCCCCGAGCGCCAGCUCCUCGUCAGCGAGAGGGGUGGAGAAGGAGACAAUCCGACGGCGACAGGGCAGGGAGGCGGUCCAGGGUUUGGAAGGAGAGAGAGAGGUGAGGCGGGAGGAAGAGGAGAGGGGCGGCGCGAGGUCGUGGAUGGGUGCCCGAGCGAGCGGCGGCGGCGGGGCAGGGAGGUGGGCACGGGAGGGAGAGAGAGCGGCGGCGGCGGCGGGGCAGGGAGGCGGGCACGGGAGGGAGAGAGAGGCGGGGCGGGACGAAGAGAGGAGAGCGGGCUGGAGGGGAGGGGAACGACCCGAUGUUCGGGCUCCACGGUCUCACCCCUGCCUGCGCUAUCAGAUCUUUUCUCAACCAGGUGAAAUGACUAAAAUGCCCUCGGCGGGACAUGGAAAUUACAGGCGGUGGCACGCUGGAGGGCGUACUAUUCAUUGUAGCAGUGUCACCUCUUCAUCCGACGGCUACGGCCAUCCGAGGGCGAGAUCUGACGGCCGAGAAAGCAUCAAAUGUGGGGCACACACGUCAGAGUUAAUACUAUUCUAUUAUAUACCGUUCUCCUUUAUGGUAUUUCGUUCGAACGUUAUGCGUGCAGAGGGCUGGCGCUGGAAGGAGAACACCGUGCACCAGCCAGAGCACCAUGCCACGGUCACCAGCUGUUUCCCCACACAGUCACACACACGGCAUCGUCCGCUUCGGCCGGCCACCAUGGCCAGCUCGAGCUCUCCCUGCUCUGCACAUGAGUGCACACGCAUGCGCGGCUGCACCGUGGGUUGCGCAUGGUGCAACACACGGAAACCAGUAGACUAUCCUGGUGCAACACACGCCAUCGUCAUGUUGCAACACGCCAUGUUUCCGUCUCCGCCACGCUGGAAAACUACGGGCACGUACCAAGGCCGGUCGCCGCUUAAUUGUAGAAUAGUGCUGGACUGCUCGAGGCGGCCGCCGGUCGCCCGGCAGGGGGAGCAGAGCACAACGAUGGUCGUAGCGGCGGCUCAAGCUCUGCCUCUGCCACACACACUAUUGGGCUGCCCCGACGGAGGAGUGGCAGAUCUGGUCGAGAAUGGCGCUUCUCCCAUGCCAAUCUUCGUCAUCGGAGAUGUCCGCGAUGUCGUUGUCGGGCGCCGGGUGGACGAGCGCGCGAGCAUCUCCUUCUCCUCCGCGGCCUAUUGCGCCUCCAUCUCCUGCCCAGUGACGGCGCCUGGCCUCCGCAGCCGACUCCAAGCGGAGAGAAUCAAGGAUGGUCUGCUGCUCCGCUUGCAGAUCCGCGUCGCUAGCGUCCCCCACAUCUUCCUCCUCCUCCAACUCCUCCUUCGUAUCCACUGCAUCAGGAGAGGCACCGGAAUUCUGCUCCCCGUCACCGGCCGUCGGAGGGGCAGAGAGAGGGAAGACGAAUCGAUGGGCUCAUUGGUGAAGCCUAGAGGAAAGAACCCUCACAACACGAAUGCAAACUCACCCCCUAUGAAUACACGGCAUUCUUCUGACGGAUGCGCAUGUCUCAUCUUCGUUAAAGUUGAACUCAGCAGACUGUCAUUUUUUCCAGAGUACGAGCAAACCCAGCCCGGCACGCGACGACACACAAGACAGAGCCCUCGCUCCUUCAAAUACUACCUGACAUCCCUAUCCUAUCGACCAAGAGCGAGAGUGAGUGACAGUAUCGUUAGUACCUAUCCAACGACCAAGAGCGAGACGAGAGUGAGUGACACCGCCUAUCGGUUGCAAAUGGCCGUCAAGGUCGUCGCCGGGAAGACCACUGCUGCUCAGCCCAAGAGCGUGGGCCGGCGGCUGUGGCGCCUGGCGCGCACCGUCGUCUACCUUCUGCGCCGCGGCGUGCUGUCGUCCGGGCGCAAGCUCGCCAUGGACCUCCACCGCAGCAGGGACGCCAGCAAGGCCCUCGGCGGCUUCGUCAACUUCCACCGCCGCGCGGCGGCUCGCACUCGCUCCUCCUCUGUCGCGGUGAAGCGCCGCGACGACGAAACCCCCGGCUGUUACAACAGCUACGACGCGGCCGACAUCGCCAGGGUGUUCGAGAUGCUCAACGACGGCGGGCACCUCUUCGACGACGAGGACGGGGGGCCCGCGGUGGGGACGCCCUCUCCCGCCGCGUGGGCGUCGCCGGCCUUCGGGCGCAGCAGCGCGGCUACGGGCCAGCCGCGCGUCACCGACUCGCCGUUCAUGGCGGGCGAGCACCAGCAGGUGGACAGGAAAGCCGACGAGUUCAUCAGGAGGUUCUACCGGCAACUGCGCGCCCAGAAGAGCGUCUCCGCCACGCCGGAAAACUACGGCCACGUCGUCCCAAGGCCGCGAGUUUAUAUGUACCCGGGUUCAGGACGUCCUCACUCGGGAGAGAUUGUCCCAGUCAAUGUCAGAGCCCGACUCGCCGUCCUCGUCCUCCAAAUCGAGCUCGAUCACCCUCAAGGGGCCAGCGUCGUCCUCCUCCUUCACCACUUGCUUCACCGACUUGUUCUGAUGUUCCCAGUACUCGUACUCCUCCAAUACAAGGUAUGGAUUUUAUGCCGCAAACCUCGCCAUGGCAGACUCAUCCUGCCGAUGAACAUCGCACUGAUCCAAGACGAUACGAGUCUCCUUCUUUUCUCCGACAGUCAUCAUCUCUAUCUUGGGACCGAUGAACUCCGCGUCUACCUAAGUUUCAAUCUCCAGAAAGUUCAACUCCUGCUUCCUCUGGCCGAGCCGCCAACAUGCUUUGUCGAAGCGUGGGCGGCGAUGUCCGGCGAGUCAAAUGUGCCGAGCCAAUACCUCGGGUCUUUUUGUGUGAGCUCGGCCGAAAAACAGCUGGAGUCCCGCUUCCGAACACCAUGGAAGCCGGUUGGGCUCCUCGGUUGGUGGCAUGGCGACAUCGUCACGGAUCUCGAUGGCGGGAGGUGCCGACGGCUGGAGAGAGGAGGGGCGGCUAUGGAUCUAUGGCGGGAAGGUGGCUACUUCCGGAGAGAAUAG